UUGCUGAUUAUACAUUAUGACGUUCAUGACACUGAUGUUUGUAGGCCCGAGGGCCACGGUUCACAGAGGUGGGUUGGAUAAGCCCGAGGGCGUUCACUAAUGAUCCUUCCGCAGGUUCACCUACGGAAA
rnacentral:misc_RNA from 1 species